rnacentral:lncRNA from 1 species
UGACUGUGGAGGAAGAGAGUAGAAUGAUACUCCCUAGUAUAAGGAGAAACUAAACAGCUUGCCAGCUUGGUUAAGAAUGGAUGGAGUUAUUAAAUAAAGACUGGGCUUCAUUGUGUUUAAGAGUCUCAGUACAAAGGAGUAGUCCUUAGAGCCUUCAUUGUGGUUAAAUUGUAUUCUUGACUUUUAGUAUGAAUUUAUUAUGUAAUUUUAAGGAAAUUUGACCCACUAAUAAUAUUUUGUUUCUAGUUAAGGUUAAAUUCUGUAUAUAUAUUGUCACAUUUUAGCCUUUUAUAAGAGACAUGUGGGAGAACCCUUCCUGCUGUUGAAGCAUAUGAGUCUUCA